UACGAAGGGGGCUAGCGUUGCUCGGAAUCACUGGGCGUAAAGCGCACGUAGGCGGAUUGUUAAGUCAGGGGUGAAAUCCUGGAGCUCAACUCCAGAACUGCCUUUGAUACUGGCGAUCUCGAGUCCGGGAGAGGGGGGUGGAAUUCCCAGUGGUAGCGGUGAAAUGCGUAGAUAUUGGGAGGAACACCGGUGGCGAAGGCGGCCCCCUGGAGCCGGUACUGACGCUGAGGCGCGAAAGCGUGGGUAGCAAACGGG
rnacentral:rRNA from 1 species